rfam:Peptoniphilus sp. oral taxon 375 str. F0436 noncontiguous_finished_chromosome, whole genome shotgun sequence.
AUAUACCGUAUAAGAAAGAGGAGUAGCUGGUGGAAGCUUACAGAGAGUCAAUGCUUGCUGGAAAUUGACAGGGGAAGCCGGUGAAGGUUGCUUUUUGUUGGAAACCAAGGGUUUCGGGUGACUCCGUUAUGGGUUAAAAGUGUCGUAUAAUUACGAAAUUAAGGUGGUACCGCGUUCCUCGUCCUUUUG